rnacentral:rRNA from 1 species
CAGUCGCCGCGGGAAUACGGAGGAUCCAAGCGUUAUCCGGAAUCAUUGGGUUUAAAGGGUCCGUAGGCGGUCUUGUAAGUCAGUGGUGAAAGCCCAUCGCUUAACGGUGGAACGGCCAUUGAUACUGCAGGACUUGAAUUAUUGGGAAGUAACUAGAAUAUGUAGUGUAGCGGUGAAAUGCUUAGAGAUUACAUGGAAUACCAAUUGCGAAGGCAGGUUACUACCAAUUGAUUGACGCUGAUGGACGAAAGCGUGGGUAGCGAACAGGAUUAGAUACCCCUGUAGUCCCUGUCUCUUAUAA